UCCUGACGUUGGGGCCUGAGAGGCAGUUCUGAGGACAGCAGACCUGACCUGGGCCUGCAGCUUAUGGGUUCCUGCGCUGGGUCCCAGCAGGUCAGCUGGACCCUGGCCUCUGGCCCCCUGAUGCCAGGU